UGGGAGGAAACAGUUGCAGGGCCUCACCCUAAGAAGAGCACGGGAAUCUGUGAGCGACCCCAGAGUAAUGGACCUGGACUGCCUCUGGCGCAGGACUGGAUCAGACCAGGGAGCCUCCAGCCAGAGGCUCUUGGCCAGUACUGGAAAAGAGACAUAGAACCAACCUCCGUGCUGGGUCCAAAAAUCUCAGAGCUAAGGAUGAUCGUGGCCUGGAGGCUUGGAAAUCCAAGAUCACCUGACCGCAUCUGGGGAGGGUCUCACGCUGCUUUGACCCACGGUGGAAAACAGAAAGGCCAGUGGAUCCAGGAUUGGUUCCACGGGGCUCCUGAUCUUCAGUCUCACUAUUUGCUAAAUGCAGCGUAGAAAAUCCUAACUUGUAUGCCCUGUGUCCAGCGUUGCCUGGGCCAGCCUCGCUCAUCCGGCUGUGGGUUCACUGACAUGCAAAUUAGGUAGCUCAAAAGGACAAGAAAUGGAAUGAUGCCUGCCUGCCGCCGAGUCUGCCUGCCGUGAAGGACUCGCACACUCUGGGACCAUACGCCCAAGUAAACCCUUCCUUCCUCAGGGAUCUUCCAGAAAGCAGCUAUCUUGGAGGAGCAGCUGGACACAGAACAGACAAGACCCACUAGCGUGUCAGCCAGCAUAAACAAGUCUACUAUCAGAUGGACACUGUGUCAUGAGCCAGGUACUUAGUCAUUGGGCCAUCUGCCAGGACAAACCAUUCCCUGUGACAACCACACUGGAAACACCCACAGGCAAUCUCAGAUCCUGGUGCUGGAGUUCCCUGCUGUGAUCGCCCCCCACCCCAACCCCACCCCCGGCCAUCAUGUUCCAGGAAAGACCUCUCACUAGAGACUCAGCUAGAGGACCAGAGGAGCAUGAGACUACCGUAUUAUGCUGGUCACACAGAGCAAUAGUAGAACACAGUAGAAGGGAACCAUGCAAGGGCAUAUUCAAGCCACUCCAUCCAUCACACACCCGUCUUUGCCCCGCCCUGUUCUAAGAACAGCUUAGUUCAUCAACUUGAUGUUUAAUAUUACACUGCUCUAGUAUACUGAGUAGGUACCCAAGAAAUAAUCCCCCCUCCUGUGUGUGUGGGUGGGUGCAUGCACACGUGCGCAUCUGGUAUCUUCAUAUAUGAAUAGAGCAAUACACACAGAGAAUCCAGAGGAAGACGCCAUGAAUCCUGCUGCACCUUGUUCAUCUGAGGCUAUGUCUCUCGCUGAAACUAAACGAAGACUGUGGCCAACAAGCCCCAGUGAUCCUAAUGUCUGCAGCCCUACAGCACUAGGGUUCCUGACCCUUGAGCGGCUGUGCCCAGCUUCUAAGCACAUGGUGGGAUUUGAACCUAAGUCCUCAUGCUUAUACGGCAAGCACUCGCCCAUUGGGCCAUCUCUCCAGCCCCAAGAAACCCUUACUGAUUAACUCAUCGAUGUUUCUCUGCUUGCACUGAAGGCUGGUGAAGGUAAGAAUUAUGCAAAUCAUGUGUUUCAAAUGCCUGGCACAACAGGGACACCCUACGAUGAGGCAGAUACCACCCCAUCCCCACUUCACACCUAUAAGGAAAUUGGAGUUGAAUGUACCCAAGCCCGAGUCAUACCGGAGGACAGCGACCCAUACAUAGCGCGCAUACUUGGAAGGUGUUUGAAGAACUGACUGGCAUCUGGCUCAGAGCUCCUACUCCUACCAACCUUGCAAUUAUAAAAAUGGUAGCCCCUGGGCUGGGAGGUGGCUCAGUGGGUGGGACACUUGCUGUACAAGCACGCAGACCUGAGCUUAGAUCCUCUGCACUGUGGAAGAGCUCUCGAGUGAGGUUGGAACUCAAGCAUUAGGACGAAAGGCAAAGACAAGCAGAUCCUCUGAGUUCACUGACUAUCCGGUCAAGCCAAUCAACAAGUGCCGUGUUCAGUGAUGAGAAUCCUCAGCCAAUCAACAAGUGCCUUGUUCAGUGGACUCCUCAGCCAAUCAACAAGUGCGGUGUUGCCGUUUCAGUGGUGAGACUCCUCAGACAGUAAGGUCUGGAGAGGAGACAUGAGAGAGACCUGAGAGAGACCUGGAAUCAGACGAACUCAGAUACUUAGCUCAACACUGUCUGGUUUCUCCCUCCCCCUCCCCUCCCCCUCCCUCUAAAACCAUAAUCAUGUUUUCCCUGACUCCGGAUUUCCCCACUGUUUCUCUGACCUCCACGCCUAAGUUAAAAGAUACGGCUUUCUCUCCAUUUACCUCCUCCUGGCAGCCACUGAGGUUUUAAGUGUGUUUGGUUGGUUGGUCGGUUGGUUUUCGUCCCAGGGCAAAGGAUAGCACCAGGGGCAUGUGGUUAGAAAUAGAAACAGGGACAGCUUGAUAAGAAAGGAAAGGAACUCCCACAAAUGGUCGAGAGCUGAGGAAGAAGCCAAAAAGCUUUGGGUAUAAAAUGUGUCUGUAGCCCUUUAAAAAAGACUUCGCCAUGGUAUUCCGUUGGCUUUCCUCUGUUCAUUAGAAGACGCUCAGGUCAAAAGAGGAUUCCAGUUUUUCUCUGCCAACCUUUAUAUAUUACCCUGAUGUUGAUGUCUCCAGUCCCCACUCCACACACACACACACACACACACACACACACACACACACACACACAAACAUAUGUAUACAACACACAUGUCCAUACACAAACACACAUGUCCACUCCACGUAUGCACACAUACAACACAACUCUUAGUGCCUUCUUGUAACAACUAGCCGGGGAAUAAUAUAUGACUAAAUGGCAGAAGAAAAUCCAGCAUAGCCAUCAGAUGUGUCUCCAAAAGUAUUGUGCUUUUUUUUCUUGUUGUUGCAAUAACCACUGUAACAUACGUUUUAAUUCUUUUUCUUUCUUUUUUUUUUUUUUUUUUCGGAGCUGGGGACCGAACUCAGGGCCUUGCGCUUGCUAGGCAAGCGCUUUACCACUGAGCUAAAUCCCCAACCCCACGUUUUAAUUCUUAACAGUAAUUGUAGUGAUAUAUCAAUUCAGAAGACAUUUUCUCACUUAAAGCAUUUAUUCAAAGGCUUUUAUAAUCCCUAGGCUCUAUCCGCAUCCACAUUUUCAUACGUACCAGGAAUAUCUAGUCUAUUAAUGUAAAACUGAGGAACAAGAAUUGGAGAAUAAACACAAACUCAAAGGCAAAAAAGGAAUAUAACUAGAGCGCUUACCUAGGAAGCGCAAGGCCCUGGGUUCGGUCCCCAGCUCCGAAAAAAAAAGAACCAAAAAAAAAAAAAAAAAGGAAUAUAACUCAUGACUUUGGUUGUUUUUGGUUGUCUUUGUUUUUGUCGUUUUUGUCGUUUUUGUUGUUUGGUUGGGUGGUUGGUUGGGAUUUUUGUUUUUUUGGGUGUUUUUUGAGACAGAGUCUCACUGUGUAGCUCUGACUGUCCUGGAACUCACUCUGUAGACUGGGCCAACCUCAAACUGGCAGAGAUCCUCCUGCCUCCGCCUCCUGAGCGCUGGGACCAAGGGCUGGGAUCAUGACGUUUGGGAUCUCUCAGCAUCCAUGUAAGCAUCGUUCACAAACACCGGAUUGCAGGGCCCUCGAGUUCCAUGGACAACUUUCAGAAUGGAGACAUAAACACCUUCUGAAACACUGACAAUCUCUAACGUUUUAUAACUUAGGUACAGGGGUGGGAGAGGUGGCUCAGGGUGAAGAACACGCAUUAUUCUUGCAGAGGACCUGAGCUCAGAUCCCCAGCAUUUACACCAGGUAACUCACAACUGCCCAUGACUCCAGCAGCAGGGAAUGCCCGUAACCUCAGGCACAGCAUGUGUGUAGACAUACACACAUGCACACGCAAAUAAAUAAUACUAAAAUAUUUAAAAGAAGUUUCAAAGUUAAAUAAAAUAGUCAAAAGAAAAAGGAAACUGCAGUUUUGUAACUGUGUCAAGAUGAGCUUCAUCGUGAAUAUGAACCAUUGACCGUUAUUUCAGUGAGCUCACAGAGUUCAGCAGUUAAACGGAACUUCAAGGCCUCUCCCCUAGGUAGAAGGUCUCAACUUCACAAUUGCCUGAAGAGCUCUGGAAGGGGCUGGGCCAGGCUGUGCUGAACAAGUACAGCUUUUGUUUUUGUCUUUUCCUGGUCAGGAAGGCCUGGCUACUAAAGUUUUAGAUGUUUGAUACAAAGUAUGACAUGCACCUAUAAUGCUAGCCCUCAGGGAGCUGAGGCAGGAGGAUCACAAGUUCCAGACCGGCCUGGUUACACAGUGAAACUACCCUGUCUCAAAGACAAAACAGCAACAAAAAGGUUUUGCUCCGAUGCUUUUAAAUUUUAAACCACAUAAACUUAGAUGAAAUGUGGAGGGAGACGGUAAGUCAUCCCUGCCUCGGUGUUUGACCACUUCCUGUGAUUCCAAAGGUCUCUGGGGCUGUUGAUCUGUAGAAUGGAAAUGCUGCGCACUGAUACCUAGGCCCGCAACCCUCCUGUCCCAGCACCCCACAAUGCUACAGAGGCAGUAGCUUCCGGGUGGCUACCAGGGAAGUUAGCCGGAAGUUAUCGCUUUGUGCAAAGUCCGCUCUUAAGAGGUCAACGAGGGGGAUUGGGGAUUUGGCUCACUGGUAGAGCGCUUGCCUAGCAAGCACAAGGCCCUGGGUUCGGUCCCCAGCUCCGAAAAAAGAAAAAAAAAAAAAGUCAGCGAGGAAACUACCAACAACAAAGCUUCGAGUUUGCAGACACCUAUGAAUCCGUCUCUGGAUGCUAUAACGUAUAAUGAACUAUACAAAACAAAACCCUAGGCAAAAGAUUGUUCCAGUAACCAAAGCCCGACGCCUAAUCCAGGGCCGUUCCAGUCACUGGGUGAAGCUCCGACAUGUCCUUCCCAUUUCCUCUGACUCACGAAUGUAAACGAAAACAUAAGCAUGGCAGAGCUGCGCUCCUUGUCUGCUGCAGCCCUCGGCCGACUCUGGCCUGCCAAGGGCUUUCUGUAAGAGUCAGUUGUGCAAUUCACAAUAGAGAGUUCCUUAGUUUUUCUGCAUGUCUAAUGGUGUCCUGUGCAUCCCUGUGGCCAAAGAAGUCACAACAAACUUUUUUACACUUGUAAUUCUGCCGCGUGUGAAUGCCGAUUGAGAAUUUGUCAGAGUGCCACAGUACAGAGUCACUCUUGGUAUUGGUGCUUUUAAAAAUCUACCAGCUGAGCCCUGGUAGCCAGUGGGGGGUGUAAGGGGGGAGGGGGAAUAGCUCCAUCAGUGAAGUAUUUGCCUCACAAACACGAGGAUCUCAAGCCCCAUGAAAAAUGUCAGAUGUGGUGGCAAGGCAGCGGGAUCUCAACACUGGGAGGUAGAGAUGAGAGGAUUCCUGGGGCUCGCUGGCCCAGCAGCAUAACCUAAUUUCUGAGCCAAUGAGAGACCCUCUCUCAAUGACCUUCCAGAAAACUUAUCCUCACGGCCUCCUUGAAACAUUAAUGAACAAAUGCCAGCACACGCAUGUAUCUCCCCAACACAGUAAUACUCCAUGAUCUAACUUGCAGAGAACUAUUUACCCUCGAAGGAGACAGACAGGAAGACUGUUUUGCUGGUGCCUGGUUUUAUGUAGGAUACACACACACACACACACACACACACACACACACACACACACUCACAGCGGGUGCAGUACAGUGGUGAACACUUUUUUCCUCCAAGGUUGGAGAGAAGGGCAGGUUUGGGGAGAGUCAUAGAGAACUAUGAGUUCUCUAGUCCUAAUGCAUUAGGUCACAAGAUCUUUCCCUAAGACCGGAGCAAUUUAAAGACCAGGUCUGUGUCAUUAAUUACCGGAAGUACAUAAUCGAGUUUCCUGUGUGUUUGGCAAAUAAAUUGCUGUAUUGUAUUAAGAUAAAGUUAUGAUGCAUCCCCAGUGAUCAACCAUGGUACAAAUAACCUUAUGUGGUACUCAGCAGCCACUCAAAGUGGCAUUCAGUGACCUGAGAAAUGUUCAUACUAUGACAUAAUGGCAGAAAGAAAGUUACAGAGUAACACAUCAAUUACCAACAAAACUUGGCGUCAAGAAGAUCACACUAAAUAUUUUUUCCAGAACUUGACAAGGCAUAAAUCAACUCUUGGCUGGUGUCCGCCUCAUCUGGAGGAAACAAACACUUUGUAGCUCUUUGCGACACCACAAAAAGCUUUAAGGGAAGACUGUUUGGAUCAUGGCUGUUUCCUAGUUCUGGCGUAAAGUUGAAAUGGAUGCUGGGAGAUGUGGCUACACUAGCCCUGAGAAGAUGAAGGAAAGCUCAGGAGGACUCCCAUCCUGAGGUACCACCAGACAGGAUAUCUUGCCAGUGUGUAGACAUUUAGACAUGAUAUGGUACGUCCAAACUUGAAGGAGUGCAAGCUUGUUUCAGACUGCAUUGCAACUCCUUUGUAACAAAUCUUUCCAGUAUUUCAUGUUUGGGGAUUUCUAGUUGGCCUACGGUUGAUCCCACCUGGAUAAAAGGCGAAGAUGCAAGGUGAGAAUCAGGCAAGGGCUGGAAAGACUGAGAGGCGAGUUUAAAUAGUCUUUCGGACACUCACACACUGAGCAGAAUUCCUCCUGGCUGUGGCUGGGAACUGCUGGCUGGGAGGGAGGUAGAGAGACAGCUGCUAGCAUGCUUAGCAACACUUUGGACUCAAACACACAUUACCAAAUAAAUCGUUCACCAUUGUUCCAAGCCUGUGACUCUCCCGGACAUUGCCAGACAAACACUUCUGUGUAUAGCAGCCAAGAAUGGGAAAACAAGCUAGCCAGUUCCCUCUGGACCAAUAUGUUAUUGGGUGGUUCGUGAAACCGGCCUUGGCCCACCGCUCAGUGCACAGGAGCGGGGAGUGGCUAAGAGCAGAGGGAGAACCAGCUUCCAAGACAGGGGUAAGAAAGCACUGGCCCGACCCUGCAUCCCGUGAUGUCCCACACCAGGAAUUGAAUGAUGUAAGGGGCAGUAGGUGAGAGGUCAUAGGGUGAGAUGUGCUCCAUGUACAAUACAUGCAUGCAUUAUAAUGUUCUUGUAUGACACAGUUCUGUGUACAGUGAAUAGAUACAGUGAAAAGGUUUUUAAGGAGAGUAAUCAAAGCAUAAAUGAGAGCAAAAGUUACAAAAAUGCUAAGUGCAUCUGAUUAGGAUGACACGCAACUAUCAGGGGUUUUUAAGAUUUGUUUUUACUUACAUGUGUCUGUCUUUGUGUGUGUACAUGACACACAUGUGUGUAUGUGGGUGUAUGUGUAUGUAUGUGUCCUCAGAGACCAGAAGAGCAGGUCUCUGGGAUCUGGACUUACUGGUAAUUGUGAGCUACCUAGUUUAGGUGCCAGGAACGGAACACAGAUUUUCUUCCAGAACACCAUGUUCUCCGAACCACUGAGCCUUCCCUGCAGCCUCUUCUGUAGCAUUAGCAUUGAAAUACCCAUGUGUUGGGCACUGGGGGAGAGAGGAGACAGCUUAGUGGCUAAGAAUGCUUGCUGCGUGUCCUAGUAUGCUUUCUGUUGCUGUGAUAAACACCAUGGUCAAAAGCACCUUGUGGAGGAUAGGGUUGACCUCUUCCUAACAUUUGCAGGUUGCAAACCAGCAUCGAGGCAGAAACCAAAAAAAGAACACACUUCUAGACUUACUUCCUCUGGCUUGCUCUGCUGCUUUUCCUAUAGAGCCCAAGUCUGUCUGCCCACAGUGGCCCGGGCCCUCCUCCCUCCAUUAGCAACAAAGAAAACGCCCCACAGAACAUGUCCACAAGCCACUUUGAAGAGCCAACUCUUCACCUGAGAGUCUCCCUUCCGGGGUAUGUCUGAGUUUGUUGACAAAAACAACCAGCACAGCAGACCCAUACAUGUGCCUAGCACACACCUGUGCAUAGGCCACACAUGUACACUCACAAAGGAGAUUUUGACAGGACUUUUAAUAGCAAAGAAACAGCUUCACAAUGAUCUAAGGUACGGAAGUUGAUUAUCAGGGACCUCUACAUCUCUAUGUGAACAGAAUGGGCACAAAAAUGGUUUAUAUGAAAAAAAUGCACAGACACAAAGGAAGGCUAAGCUGGCCUUGGAUUUCCUUACCAUGUAAUGCUCAAGCAAUCAUUGUUGAUAAACCUGGAAACAGAUUCUGAUAGAGCACUCAGCCUUGGGGUGGCUCCAGAUGUCAGGAGGCCCUCACAGGGAACAUGCUAUCAUGACAGAUUUAGAGUAUAAUUGAUUUCAUUUGGCUUUAGUAGACAUUUAGAGAGUGCUUCUAUGGGCGAGGGUAUUAUGAUCUGAAUGUGGGGUGAACCCAAAGGAGACUGAGUGUUGAGGGCUUAGUGGUCAGCCUGUGGCACUGUCGAGCAGUGAUUGGUUCAGGAGAGUGCUGCCUCAUGAACGAGUCACUCCAUGAAUGAAUUUGUAGUUGAAGGGAUACUUGAAGGUAAGGCUGCCCUGAUGUUCUGCCUCAGCUCGGGCCAGAAGCAAUGGAGCUGCCCAACCUUCACUACCUGUCACAUUUAUAUUUAUUGUCAAUUCGAAUUGUCAGAAUUACCCAGGAGGAAAAUCUCUGGACCUGUCUAUGAGCGAUUGCCUAGACUGGGUUAUCCAAGGUAGGAAGAAGAGCCACACUAAACUCAGUGAGACCUGGCUGUGGGCUGAUGUUUUGGAUUGAAAUAAAUAGCAGAAUGGGAACUAGGAACCACACUCUCGGGUUCCUGCCUACAGGUACAGCAUGGCCGACUUGGUCCAUGACUUCCUGCCAUGAUGGACUGUGUGCCCUCCAACCGUGAGCCAAGUCAAACCUUUUCCUCCCUUAAAGUGCUUUUGUCAUGUGUUUGUCAGAGUGACAGACACCUGGCCGUUACAUGUUUGGGAUGUAAAGAUCUGAUGCAAGGUCUUUCUUUUGUAAUGCAAAAGGGGAUGCAGAUUAAAAAUAGAAAGAUGGCCACCCUAAUUCAAAACCAAAUUAACCAAAGACUCAUGAAGUCCUGAACAUGGCAGCAGUACUGGCUUCUUAUGCCGGCUCCUUCUGCUGUCAGGAACACAGCCGAACAUUCCUCUCUGGAAAUGGAGGAGACUGACCGGGAUGCAGCAGCCUGCUGGAUGCCAUCUCAUCCCUAGUACCGAUCUGUUUUGCUUUGAGAAAAUGAUCAGAAACCACAGGCUGACACCUUGGGAAUGUGUACUGGCCAGGCAAAAGCUGUCGGGUGACAAGUGACAGUGAGAAGAAGCUGGCCAAGACAUGCUCAGUCCAAAUGUCAGCGCCACUUACACUCUCAACAGCACUGUGUACUUACAUACACAACAAGGGGACAGCUGGGGAGCUGGGGUAGCUGAAGGCAGUCACCAUGCUGUUUGACAACAUCCCCCGGCCCGGUCUGGUGUCCUCCAGCAAGUUGUCACUAAGGAGCUAACCUGUGGUGGGCCAUAGAUUUCAACACAGAAGCUGAAGUCAUACUGGAAGAGAAGAUAAACAUCCUGACUUGGGGUAGCUGAGCCUGGCAAAGCAACCAUUAAAAUAAAAGCGAGAUUGGUGAUCGGAAACCAUAAGAGCCAACUCUCUGCUGCACAGACACCUUUCCUUUCAAAAUGAGUAAGCACCGAAGAGAUGGGAGGAGAGGAUUAGUAUAACCUGUGUCUGGUGAGGAUCUGGAAUCCAGGGUGUAUUUUUCAAACACUUAGGUAACUUAAUAACAAAAAGACUAUACAAUAAAAACAGAAGUUUCCCCAAA